GCCCCCAUCGUCUAGGGGUUCAGGACAUCUCUCUUUCAAGGAGGAAGCGGGGAUUCGACUUCCCCUGGGGGUA
rnacentral:tRNA from 1 species